rnacentral:tRNA from 1 species
AUUUAUAUAAUAUAAAUAUUAUGCUUGACUUCCAAUCAAAAAAUCUAAGCAAUUAGUAUAAAUA